AACAUAUAUUAAUCCUACAUAAGGAUCUAAAUAUAAUAUAUAUAGCAUGCAUUUAAAUUUAAAAUUUAAACUUCUACAGUAAACGUUUUACUGUUAUGUGUUCAGAACACAUUGCCUUCGCGCAGGUAGUCGAUCGCCGCAGUCUGAUCACCGUCGGGAUGGUCUAAUCAUCGUAAUAUAGCCACACAGUAUGUCUAGCCUCUACGGAUCGUCCACACAAAGCUCCUGAUC
rnacentral:lncRNA from 1 species